AACGAACGCUGGCGGCAUGCCUAACACAUGCAAGUCGAACGAGACCUUCGGGUCUAGUGGCGCACGGGUGCGUAACGCGUGGGAACCUGCCCUUAGGUCCGGAAUAACUCCCCGAAAGGGGUGCUAAUACCGGAUAAUGUCUUCGGACCAAAGAUUUAUCGCCUUUGGAUGGGCCCGCGUUGGAUUAGCUAGUUGGUAGGGUAAAAGCCUACCAAGGCGACGAUCCAUAGCUGGUCUGAGAGGAUGAUCAGCCACACUGGGACUGAGACACGGCCCAGACUCCUACGGGAGGCAGCGGUGGGGAAUAUUGGACAAUGGGCGAAAGCCUGAUCCAGCAAUGCCGCGUGAGUGAUGAAGGCCUUAGGGUUGUAAAGCUCUUUUACCCGGGAUGAUAAUGACAGUACCGGGAGAAUAAGCUCCGGCUAACUCCGUG
rnacentral:rRNA from 1 species